UACGUAGGGGGCUAGCGUUGUCCGGAAUUAUUGGGCGUAAAGAGCUCGUAGGCGGCUUGUCACGUCGAUUGUGAAAGCCCGAGGCUUAACCUCGGGUCUGCAGUCGAUACGGGCUAGCUAGAGUGUGGUAGGGGAGAUCGGAAUUCCUGGUGUAGCGGUGAAAUGCGCAGAUAUCAGGAGGAACACCGGUGGCGAAGGCGGAUCUCUGGGCCAUUACUGACGCUGAGGAGCGAAAGCGUGGGGAGCGAACAGG
rnacentral:rRNA from 1 species